GAUGAACGCUGGCGGCGUGCCUAAUACAUGCAAGUCGAGCGAACGGACGAGAAGCUUGCUUCUCUGAUGUUAGCGGCGGACGGGUGAGUAACACGUGGAUAACCUACCUAUAAGACUGGGAUAACUUCGGGAAACCGGAGCUAAUACCGCAUAAUAUUUUGAACCGCAUGGUUCAAAAGUGAAAGACGGUCUUGCUGUCACUUAUAGAUGGAUACGCGCUGCAUUAGCUAGUUGGUAAGGUAACGGCUUACCAAGGCAACGAUACAUAGCCGACCUGAGAGGGUGAUCGGCCACACUGGAACUGAGACACGGUCCAGACUCCUACGGGAGGCAGCAGUAGGGAAUCUUCCGCAAUGGGCGAAAGCCUGACGGAGCAACGCCGCGUGAGUGAUGAAGGUCUUCGGAUCGUAAAACUCUGUUAUUAGGGAAGAACAUAUGUGUAAGUAACUGUGCACAUCUUGACGGUACCUAAUCAGAAAGCCACGGCUAACUACGUG
rnacentral:rRNA from 1 species